rnacentral:lncRNA from 1 species
CAGGAAUGGUGUUUGCUAAGUCAUAAGUACAGCUGUAGGCUGAGAAACCCUUCAGUAUACCCACUCUUUCUCAUUAAAACCACUAAGUUCCAGUCUACUGGAGAAAGAAGACCCAGCAUUUCUUCACUUCUGUAAUAGCGAGGAUUGUAUCAUUUCUAUCAAGGUUUGUUCAAAGAUCUUCCUAUUCACCCCAGGAUUUCACCAUUGAUACUAAAGAGCUCCCUUAGCCUCAGGAAGGACUGAGAAGGCCUCAGAUAAGAAUGUUUCCUGUAGCAUGUAAAGGAGGAGGAAACUAGAAUCUAGUCUGCCUGAGUCCAAAAGCUUUGUGUCUACACAAGAGAGUGGCCCCAAGAGAAAUGGACUCUGCUCUCCCAAGAACUGCAAUCUGGGUCAUGUAUGACAUUUCUAAACUAGAUGAGGUCAUCAAAGCCAUCUGGUCUACCCUAAGUCUACACAUGGAAAAGGUUUCCUGGUGGUGAGGAGUAAGAAACUGCAAGUGGAUCCACUGAUGGACGAAUUAGAAACAUAUCCACCUGGAAGGCCCUAAUUAUAUUUUUGUCCGAAGCAGUCUAGUUGGAGAAGCUGCAAGGUCUGUGUUUAUUUAACCAAUGCUUACUUACUUCUGGCAAUGGCAAUUAAAUCUUUAUAACGGUUGAA